GAUUUGGUUCUAGGAAAACGCUCUGGAAAGAGCGGCCAUAGAAGGUGAUAGCCCUGUAUCUGAAAGGGCCAUUUCAGUGAAGACGAGUAGGGCGGGGCACGUGAAACCCUGUCUGAACAUGGGGGGACCAUCCUCCAAGGCUAAAUACUACUGACCGACCGAUAGUGAACCAGUACCGUGAGGGAAAGGCGAAAAGAACCCCGGAGAGGGGAGUGAAAUAGAACCUGAAACCGUGUGCGUACAAGCAGUAGGAGCUCCGCAAGGAGUGACUGCGUACCUUUUGUAUAAUGGGUCAGCGACUUACUGUUCGUGGCUAGCUUAACCGUAUAGGGGAGGCGAAGGGAAACCGAGUCUGAUAAGGGCGCAUAGUCGCGGGCAGUAUACCCGAAACCGGGUGAUCUAGUCAUGCCCAGGGUGAAGGUGCGGUAACACGCACUGGAGGCCCGAACCCACUCCCGUUGCAAAGGUAGGGGAUGAGGUGUGAUUAGGAGUGAAAAGCUAAUCGAACCCGGAGAUAGCUGGUUCUCCUCGAAAGCUAUUUAGGUAGCGCCUCAUAUGUAUCCUCUCGGGGGUAGAGCACUGUUAUGGCUAGGGGGUCAUCGCGACUUACCAAACCAUUGCAAACUCCGAAUACCGAGACGGACUGUAUGGGAGACACACAGCGGGGUGCUAACGUCCGUCGUGAAAAGGGAAACAACCCAGACCCACAGCUAAGGUCCCAAAUUUAGUGCUAAGGGGAAAAUCCAUGUGGAAAGGCACAGACAGCC
rnacentral:rRNA from 1 species